AUUGAACGCUGGCGGCAGGCCUAACACAUGCAAGUCGAGCGAGUGGCGGACGGGUGAGUAAUGUAUGGGGAUCUGCCCGAUGGAGGGGGAUAACUACUGGAAACGGUAGCUAAUACCGCAUACCAUCGGAUGAGCCCAUAUGGGAUUAGCUAGUAGGUGGGGUAACGGCUCACCUAGGCGACGAUCCCUAGCUGGUCUGAGAGGAUGACCAGCCACACUGGGACUGAGACACGGCCCAGACUCCUACGGGAGGCAGCAGUGGGGAAUAUUGCACAAUGGGCGCAAGCCUGAUGCAGCCAUGCCGCGUGUAUGAAGAAGGCCUUCGGGUUGUAAAGUACUUUCAGCGGGGAGGCGUUACUCGCAGAAGAAGCACCGGCUAACUCCGUGCCAGCAGCCGCGGUAAUAC
rnacentral:rRNA from 1 species